UUAUGGCCAUCCAGAUGUCUUUGACAGGUUUUGGUUCUUGACUCGUGGUGGCAUCAGUAAAGCUUCUAGGGUGAUUAACAUUAGCGAAGACAUUUUUGCUGGCUUUAACUGCACUUUGCGAGGAGGCAAUGUCACACACCAGGAAUAUAUACAAGUUGGUAAGGGAAGGGAUGUCGGGUUCAAUCAAGUUUCCAUGUUUGAAGCCAAGGUUGCCAGUGGAAAUGGCGAGCAGGUUCUUAGCAGAGAUGUCUAUAGGUUGGGCCAUAGAUUGGAUUUCUUCCGAAUGCUAUCCUUCUUUUAUACUACUGUGGGAUUUUAUUUCAACACAAUGAUGGUCGUUCUGACAGUAUAUGCAUUUUUAUGGGGCCGGCUCUAUUUGGCUCUUAGUGGUGUUGAGGCUUCUGCUAUGGCCAGUAACAGCAGCAAUAAUAAAGCACUUGGUGCUAUUUUGAAUCAGCAAUUCAUCAUCCAACUUGGCCUUUUCACUGCACUUCCGAUGAUAGUAGAGAACUCUCUUGAGCAUGGAUUCCUCCAAGCUAUCUGGGAUUUCUUGACAAUGCAACUUCAGCUCUCAUCUUUUUUCUACACUUUCUCCAUGGGAACUAAAACUCACUUCUUUGGUCGAACUAUCCUUCAUGGAGGUGCAAAAUAUCGGGCUACUGGUCGUGGUUUUGUUGUGCAGCACAAGGGUUUUGCAGAGAAUUAUAGACUCUACGCUCGUAGUCAUUUUGUGAAGGCGAUUGAGCUUGGGCUGAUACUCACAGUUUAUGCUUCACACAGUGCUAUAGCUAAGGACACUUUCGUUUACAUAGCCAUGACCAUCUUUAGUUGGUUCCUGGUUGUGUCAUGGAUCAUGGCUCCAUUUGUUUUCAAUCCGUCUGGCUUUGAUUGGUUGAAGACAGUUUAUGAUUUUGAUGAUUUUAUGAACUGGAUUUGGUACAAAGGUGGUGUGUUUGCAAAAGCUGAACAGAGUUGGGAAAGAUGGUGGUGUGAGGAGCAAGAACAUUUGAGGACAACUGGGCUGUGGGGAAAGUUACUGGAGAUAGUUUUGGACCUUCGUUUCUUCUUUUUCCAAUAUGGCAUUGUCUAUCAAUUAGGCAUUGCUGAUAACAGUACCAGCAUUGCUGUUUACUUGCUGUCUUGGAUUUAUGUUAUUGUUGCUUUUGCAAUUUCUUGGGUGAUAGCAUAUGCUAGGGACAAAUAUGCGGCAAGAGAACAUAUCUACUAUCGACUGGUCCAGUUUCUUAUCAUCACACUUGGAAUAGUUGUGAUAGUAGCCUUGCUUGAGUUUACAUCUUUCAGAUUUAUGGAUAUAUUCACCAGUUUGCUUGCUUUUAUCCCCACUGGAUGGGGCAUGUUAUUGAUUGCCCAAGUACUUCGCCCCUUUCUGCAGUCCACUCCACUUUGGGGCGCAGUUGUUUCCAUGGCUCGGCUUUACGACAUAAUGUUUGGAGUGAUAGUUAUGGCCCCUGUGGCAUUUCUUUCAUGGAUGCCUGGAUUCCAAUCAAUGCAGACAAGGAUCCUAUUCAAUGAGGCAUUUAGUAGGGGCCUCAGAAUCUUCCAGAUUCUCACAGGGAAAAAAUCUAAGGUUGAUGUGUGAUUUGAGCUCUUAAGUCAUUAUGCGGCAUAUACAGAUGGAUUGGCCAGAUUUUCUCAGUUCUUCUGUGCAACUGUGCAAGUCUGACAUGGGUGGCUACCAGUGCAAUCAAAAAUUCUGUAAGAGCGAGGGGAUAAUUCUAUUUGGUUCUUCAUUCGGGAAUCAUCUUUUAUUGCUGUUGUAAUUAGUGAGAUAUAUCAUGCUUCCAUUGAUGUUUAUUUUGGGGGGCUAUACAUGCUUUAACGUUCCACAUUUCUGAAACAACAGCUCUUCACGUAUGGUGUCUAUAAAAUGAGGUUAGUGUGGUAGUCUGUGAUUUGCUAGAGUAUUUGUUAUUCUUUUUGACAGAUGUGCAGCUUUAUUUAUCUAUUUAUUUAUUUUAAUUUGUAUGCCAUUUAUAUUCGUUGGUAGCUUUAAAUGUAAUUCAAUUUUUGGCAAUUUAUAUAAUUUCGUUUAGUUGGUA
rnacentral:misc_RNA from 1 species